UUACUUACUGUGAAACUGUUACCGAGGCAGGCGGCGGCGGCAGCGGCGACCAGCUCCGAGGAUCCGGAGAGCAGCAGCGCUCAGGGUCUAGAAGGACCUCGGGCAGCAGCAAGCCCCGACUGCACGGAGGAGCCAGGUCGGCAGUCGUACCAUCACCGCCGCGCUUUAUACAGGAGCCGGGGGAUCACAGGGGCUCCGGGGACCAGGGGAUUAGCCCCCCCCCCGCCCCAGGGCGCUCAGAACUCAGCCCCCCUGCCCCACGCUCUGGGCUGGGGAUGGCGAGCCCCACGCUGCUGGGGCUGCUGCCCCCCCUGAACUCCCCUCCUGGUCCCAACCUCAACAACAACAACAACCACCAGAGCGUGAGGAAAUGCGGCUACCUGCGCAAGCAGAAGCACGGGCACAAGCGCUUCUUCGUGCUCCGGGGACCCGGCGGCAGCGGGGAGGAGCAGCCGGGGGCGGGGGGCGCCCGGCUGGAGUACUACGAGAACGAGAAGAAAUGGAAGAACAAGUCCGGGGCUCCCAAGCGGGUGAUCGCGCUGGAUUCCUGCCUCAACAUCAACAAGCGAGCGGACGCCAAGCACAAGUACCUGAUCGCCCUCUACACCAAGGACGAGUACUUCGCCGUGGCGGCCGAGAACGAGCAGGAGCAGGAGGGCUGGUACCGGGCCCUCACCGACCUGCUCAACGAGGGCAAAGCCGCCUGCCAGGGUUCCCCGCUCCGCCACCUCUCCUCGCCCUUCUCCUCCGGCAGCGCCGCCGGCUCCUCCCUGGCCGGCGGCUGCGAGGACCUGAACUACGGGCUGCUCGCCCCGGCCAGCGCUGUCUACCGGGAGGUCUGGCAGGUGACGCUGAAGCCCAAGGGCCUGGGGCAGAGUAAGAACCUGACCGGGGUGCACCGGCUCUGCCUCUCCGCUCGCACCAUCGGCUUCGUGCGCCUCAACUGCGAGCUGCCCUCGGUCACGCUGCAGCUGAUGAACAUCCGCCGCUGCGGCCACUCCGACAGCUUCUUCUUCAUGGAGGUGGGGCGGUCGGCGGCCACCGGGCCCGGCGAGCUCUGGAUGCAGGCGGACGACUCGGUGGUGGCGCAGAACAUCCACGAGACCAUCCUGGGGGCCAUGAAGGCGCUGAAGGAGCUGUCCGAGUUCCGGCCCCGCAGCAAGAGCCAGUCCUCCUCCUCCUCCUCCUCCGGGGGCGCCGGCGGCCCCGGAGCCUCCUCCACCCACCCCAUCACCGUGCCCGGCCGCCGGCACCACCACCUGGUCAACCUGCCGCCCAGCCAGACCGGCCUGCUGCGCCGCUCCCGCACAGACAGCCUGGCGGCCGGGGCCAGCGCCGGCACCAAGGGCAACCCGGGCCGGGUGCGGACGGCCAGCGAAGGGGAUGGCUGCAGAGCGGGCUCGGUCGCCGGCAGCCCCAUGAGCCCCGGCCCGGUGCGGACUCCCUUGAGCCGCUCGCACACACUUAGUAGCGGCGGCAAGUCGGGGGGAAAGCUGGGGCCGGUGCCCCCCGGGGGCGGCCUGCAAAAUAGUCGCUCCAUGUCUAUGCCCGUAUCUCACUCGCCCCCUUCCGCCACCAGCCCGAUCAGCCUCUCCUCCAGCAGCGGGCUCGGCUCCGAGCCCCCCCACCCGCAGCGCCUGUCCAGCGGCAGCGCCUCCGUGUCGGGCUCCCCCAGCGACCCGGGCUUUAUGUCCUUCGACGAAUACGGCUCCAGCCCGGGCGGCGACCUGCGGCCCUUCUCCACUGCCAGCAACCGCAGCAACACGCCCGAGUCCAUCGCCGAGACCCCCCCGGUGCGGGACCCCGGGGGCGGCGCGGACCUGUACGGCUACAUGGCCAUGGAGCGGCCCCAGAGCGGCCGGCUCUGCUACCGGCCCUGCCCGGACUCGGCGGGGGACAAGGGCCCCAGGAAGCGGACUUACUCGCUGACCACGCCGUGCCGCCAGCGGGCCGCCCCCCCGCAGGUCUCCUCCGCUUCCCUGGACGAGUACACCCUGAUGCGGGCCACCUUCGCCGGCAGCUCCGGCCGCCUCUUCCCAGCCGCCUCCCCCAAAGUGACCUACACCCCCUACCCCGAGGACUACGGGGACAUCGAGAUCGGCUCCCACCGCAGCUCCGGCAGCAGCAGCACCAACCUGGGGCCGCCGGCAGGGGGCGGCGGAGGAGGGGACGACGGCUACAUGCCCAUGACCCCCGGGGUGGCCGCGGCAUUGGGGCCGGGCAGCCGGGGCGGCGCUGACUACAUGCCUAUGAGCCCCACCAGCGUGUCCGCCCCGCAGCAGAUCCUGCAGCCGCGGGCCGGGGCGGGCGGCGGCUCGCCGGGGAACGGCAGCGGCGGCUACAAGACCAGCUCCCCCGGGGAGAGCUCCCCGGACGACAGCGGCUACAUGCGGAUGUGGGGCGGCUCCCGGCUCUCGGUGGAGAGCUCGGACGGGAGGCUGAGCGGCGGGGACUACAUCAACAUGUCCCCGCACGGGCCGCCCGCCGCCUCGCUCACCCCACCCGACUUCUUCUUCGCCCCGGCUGCGGGCGCCGGCGACCCGCCCAAGGCCGCCUACGCCUGCAGCUCCCUGCCCCGCUCCUGUCCCAGCCAGGAGCCGGCCAAGGACAGCGACCAGUACGUCUUCAUGAGCUCCCCGGGCAGGAUGGUCCCGGAGCAGCCGGCCUGCGGCGUGCGCCCCGCCGCCCCCUCCAGCCACACGGUGCCUUCCCCGCUGCGGCACAGCCGGACCGAGAGCUUCCUGAGCCAGCGGGGCCCGCGGGCGGUCCGGCCCAGCCGCCUGGCCCUGGACACCCUGCGGACGCUGCUGCCCAGCAUGCACGAGCACCCGCUGCCGCCCGAGCCCCAGAGCCCCGGCGAGUACAUCAACAUCGACUUCGGGGAGCCGGCGGCUGCCGACUCGCCGCCCUCCCUGCCCGCCGACAGCCCGGCCUCCUCGCUGGGCUCGGGCGCCGGGCGGAGGCGCUCCCACCUCUCCGACUACAUGAACAUCGACUUCGGCUCGCAGGCGGGCCCGGUCUCGGUGGGCUGCCUGGAGGCGCUCUCCCCGGAGGCCUGCGCCAGCCGCGGCCGGCCCGACGGGCUCUACCUGCCGGCGGCGGUGGGGGUGGCCUGCCUGUCCAGCCCGCCCGACGGGGGGGAUUACACCGAGAUGACCUUCGGCCUGGCCGCCACCCCGCCCCAGCCCAUCGCCCAGAAGCCAGAAAGUGCCCGGGUCACCAGCCCCACGGCGGGGGUGAAGAGACUCACCCUGGCCGGGGUGGAGGCUUUCAUCCUCUCCAGCCCGCCCCCGGACCCCAACCGCGGGGCCAAGGUCAUCCGGGCGGAUCCCCAGGGGCGCCGGCGGCACAGCUCGGAGACUUUCUCCUCCACCACCACUGUGACCCCCGUGUCCCCUUCCUUUGCACAUAACCCCAAACGGCACAACUCGGCCUCGGUGGAGAACGUGUCCCUCAGGAAAAGCGAAGGCCUGGAGGAGGAGCAGGGCAGCAGCCCCAUGUGCCGGGAGACCUCCGCUGGCUUCCAGAACGGCCUCAAUUACAUCGCCAUAGACGUGGUGGAUGGGAGCCUGGCAAACCGUGACAAAGUCAGACGCAAAGGCAGGCACGCCAUGAAUGGGGACAUCAAUGGAGUGGAGACCAGCGCCUAUGCCAGCAUAGAUUUCCUAUCCCACAACCUGAAAGAAGCAACUGCUGUGAAAGUUACAGAUCUUGCACGAGUAUGUUCUGCUUGGAAUUCAGAUAGAAUUUUCACUGUCCUUCAAGAUAUUUUCUGUGUUAGAUUAUUAUUUAUUAUUUGUAUUACAGUAGUGCCUAGACUAGAGUCUCCAACUGAGAUCAGAUACUGCACAUAGAUAUCCAAAGAAUUCCUACCCCAGUGUGCAUCCAAUCAAACCAACUAGAUAGACAAAGUGUGGGGGAAAGGUUUUGGUGAAGUAUUAGUACUCUUCCCACAUCAUGGCUAAUUCCAGUAACGUUCCUAAGAAAUAAGCCAUUAACUCAGUUGUAGAUAAACUCAUUAAAUAGCUGACACUUAGAUUUGCCUGUGCAUAGGUAAUUAACAGUUCAGUCAUUGGAGCUAUAGUGUCUUUACCGGAGUUCAUAAUUUAACAAGUUCUACAGUUUUAAAAAAAGUAGCUCGUGUGUGUGUGUGUGUGUGUGUGUGUGUGCGCGCGCGGGAGGCACAUACACUUACACAAUAAACAAAGAAUAGCUGUCCCAUAUAAGUGACCCAUAAGAGUAUUUUAUUCUAAUAAACAGCAUAUAGAAAUAGUUAAACAGAUGAAGAAAAACCCAUAUAACAUCUACACUGCGAAAUACCCAGUAAUGUAAUAGUUCAGGAGUGAGUCAGUGUUUUGUUUACAGUCGCUUCAGCAUCCUAGAAGAGAAUACUUCCUUCCUGGCAGAUGGCAGCCCCAGGGCCAUGCACCUGCUAUUACAAGCAGUACGCUGUAGUAACCAACCCCAGCCUCACUGUUGACAAUGGGUUGUCAGCCCACUGUUGGGCUCACAGCCUAAAGAGAAUAGGGAACAUAUUUGUCCUUCAACAAGGGACUGAAAUAUCUUAGGAAAGACAAUAGAGAUGGUACACUAAAGAAUUGUGCUACAGUCUAAAAUAUCCUUCUUGUAGAAGAAGUGUGUAGUGAGCCACUUUAAGACAAAUUAUGAUUGAAGAUCAUGAACUGUGUCAUCAGGGAGAGGAUUUUCUGUUCUCUCAUCCAAUAGAGUGAUUUCCCACGUUGGAUUUAUUAGCUCUAUCUAGGCAGUCAGAACACUCUCAUAACUUAGCUAAAUGUGCUUUUGCAAUGCAUCCGUCAGUAACCUGUAUUACCUCACCACCUUGUCUGUCUAGUAACCUGUAGUGGAAUUCUUUUCAAGAGGAGAGGGUUUUCCCUGUGGAAUUGUCUAAUUUACUGUGGCUGUGAGGAGGCUGAAAUAGUUAUGUACAGUCCACUCUGAUACUGUUAUACAGAUCCACCAAAAGGUGUACUAAAAAGUAAGAAUGUCUAUUUCAUUAUACCUUAAUGCUGUAUUUGUGGCUGCAGAAUACAGCAGAAUCUCUGGGUCUUUUGAGUUGCAACACCAUCUGUUACAACCAUGUCAUUGGGGCCAUCUUCUGUUAAUUUGACCGUCAUUAAUUUCUCUUAUGCAUUAAAGUUUUUUGUUUGUUUUUGUUUUGAAGAUGGAGGAUAUCUUUAGUUUUAGUGGAAGGCUUUCCAAAGAAGAGGGUGUCCUUUUUAGUAGGCCAGGAUAUUCUUGCUAAAUUUAAAAACUAUCCAAAUGUUACCCUGAGUUUGUAUAGUAUUAAACAGGAUUAUAUGACACACAGAUUAGACAUUGUUGAGAAGCUUGUUUUUGUUUGAAGGGGUAAGAAAUGGAGGGCUUUAAUGUAAUGCCAAUAUAGCAAAUUUGCUGAUACCAGAAACAGAAGAAAUGUCUUAGAAACGGUAGAACAUAAUGACAGACUUUCCAUUUUGUACAACUUCUUCAAGUGAUGCUUUAACAAUAUUUAUGUGAUUAAAUGCUGUGGUGAUGAGUAUAGAAUAUGAAAUGUUCUGCUUUCACUUGGUGUUAAUUUCUAAAUCUGUUUCAGAGAUAUAGGCAAUCUAAAGUUGAUCUGCAAUAAUACUGUAGGUAUGACUUAAGACAGAAACACAUCAAUAAGUAAUGCCAGUAACAGUUGUAAAAUCAUGUCAAUGAAAACUGUUAAAUUGGAUAGAAUAAAAUUUAAUUAAUCUUAGGUUUGCUUCUCUGAUUCAAUUCUCCAGGGAGUGUAUUAUUUUUAAAUAAUAGCUAAUGCAGUCAUUCUGUAGAGAUUAACACCUCUUAAAAUCGGUUCUUAAAGGAUAUAUUGUCAAACUAUUUAAGGUGAGAAUUUGGAGGCCUUUUUUGACAAAAGGUUGUAUACAGCCUGGUAGGAAUAGAUUAAAAAAUCCAAUGAAACACUUUCAGGGGGCAGUUAAACUUAAUUGUCCAAUGGAGAAGACACAAACUACUUCCUUGUGCUAUUGCUUGAGUACCAGAAAGUAAGAGUGACUCGGCUUUCGUAGUUCAAGACAAGUGAAAAUGUGAAAAGUAAGCAAGUAUAAUAAUUUGCCACAUGACACUUGAAUGUUGUUUAAACAGCAAGAAUAAAACCAAAAUUGUCUCAUGGAAGUAUAUGAUACUUGAUAUGAUUUAUGAGGUUAACAGUGUAUUGUGUAAUACUUUCACAACAGUAUUGGAUUUAUUCAAACUGUUAUGUUUUCUGCAGUGCUUGAGUUAUGUAUCUAAGUAAUUCUAGAGGAGGAGCAGUGAUGUUUUUUCCUAAUGCAAUAUCUUCUUUCUCGUGACUUGGAACUUUUUCAAAAAGGCUGGUGAGAAAGCUUUGUUUUCUUUCUCCUUAUGUGAUAGUACUAGUAAAUAUCCAUUAAGCAGUCCUUCGUGGUGUUUGUAUCUUUUGCUGGCCCACAUUUCAGGGUAGACUGUUUAAAUGGAUGAACAAUUCUUGUUGUUUGCAGUGUUGUAUUUGUAUUGGUACCAGGAUAUUAGAAAGACAAGGUGGGUGAGGUAAUUUCUUUUAUUGGACCAGCUUCUGUUGAUGAAAGAGAAAAGCUUUUGUGUGUACAUAGAGCUCUUCUUCAUAUCUGGGAAAGGUACUCAUGAGUGUGUCACAGCUAAAUACAAGGUGAAGCAGAUUACUUAGCAUAAUGAAUUAACACCCCUUGCAAGAGACCAUUCAAGGUGAAGUGGGCAGUUAACACUUCUGCAACCCUAGGACAGAGGAGUGUUAGUGAGGUUACCCAUUGUUGCAGUAAACCAUAAAUCCAGUGUCUUUAUUGAGUCAUAGUGAAGUUAUGAAUUUAAGCUCCAAGUUCAUCCUCUGAAGGUGUUGUGCAGGUUCCUUUGAGGACGAGGACUUAAGAGAAAGAAACAGGACUAAUGCCUACUUGGGAGUUAGGUUGGAGAGCAGAGUGAAGGAGUUAGUUUUAUCACCAUGACCUCAAACAACAGAGUACAACAUUGAAAGAAGCUGCUUGGCUAAUGGUUUUUUUAAAUCGAAGCUGCUUAAGGUUUACUUUAUUUUUUGUUGUUGGUCCGAAAGGUUGCUUAAUUUUCAAAACAGUUAUGGACUAUACUGGACAACAAAUCAGCAAGGAAGGGAGAGCAACCUGCCUCACUCAUUUCCUGUCAUUGACAUCUACAGUAUCAUUGUGCUGCUGUUUUGACAGACUUUAUUCAAGAUAUUCUCUAGAAAUUCGGAACUUUUCAACCGGCCUCUUUAACUUAUGGCCAAUGCCUUCAUUUCCUUUUUCUGCAAAGACUCACUGUAUUUAUUCUUCAGCAUAUUAAGGGAUUCUGCAAACACCUGCAAAAGCAGUAAAAUCUGGUAUUUACUGGCAUAAAUUUAAGCCUACCACAGUACUACCUCAGUUCAAAGUAAAGCCGGAUUUGUAUUGUUGGUGUAUAACAGGACCUCCUUUAUCACUAUGCUGAGUAUCUCUCAAGAACAGUCUUCAGCCUUACUUAACUUUUUAAAGUAUACAGCUGCUGGUUGGUUCUAAAUCACUAGCUGCAGUGUUUACUUAUCAGACAAAGCCCAAUGUGGGCACUGAAAAGUCUAAAAUGAAAUGAAACUUUGUGGAUUGGACUUUGACGGAAGAUUCCGAAUAGUUAUAAAGUGUGUAACUUAAGCAACGUAAGUUAAAAUAAUCAAACUGCAUUGGGGGGUGUCUCUUUUUACCUUUGACACUUGUUUAAUCCUCUCUAAGUAGGUGUUUAUGUAGGUACUUCAAAUUGCAAAAGCCUUUUCUGCUAUUUACAAACUCAUACUUGUCAAUUAACCCUGAUCUUCGCUGCAUGUCUCCUAACCAAAAAUCCACACAGGCAUGCAAGGAUGAUGAUAAUAAGUAUUGGGCAGAUUGAAAUGUUAAUUCUAAUAUAUUACUAUGCCAUCCAGAAAGUCCUAAUAUUUGCCUCUGACCAGAAAAGUAGCAUUCCAGCUAAAGGCAUCAUUAAAGGGAAAAAUGAAAGUUGCAGUCAGUUAGCCAGAAUUCUUUACAAGGAUGCCCAUGUUUUUUAACAUUUUCAGUAUUCUGAAAAUACUAGUGAUGUGUGGUGGCCUACAGUUGUUGCACCAGACUAGCAGAAUGUUCUGCCACCUUGUUGCUCCUUUGAUAAAUUUAAUGAAGAGUUCAUAUACAAUUGGUUUUUAAGGGUACCUCCCCAGUGCCUGCUCUGGUAGUCAUGUAAGUAUUACACUAAGUCAUCUGAGUUGUGUGUGAUUUUUUUUCUCUUUAAUUCUCUGUGAUAAGUGGAGAACCUAUACAUCACUAUAAACAGAAUGCAUUAUAUAUAUCUCUAUAUAUUUUUCUUUUGAGGAAGAUAAGAGUCAAUGUCUUACAAAUAUAAUGGCAAUGCAAAGUCUUCCUGCUUACAUGCUGAACUUUUAGAACACAGGAUUGUAUUACAAGACAAAGAUGAAUGUAAACUAAUUCCUUUUCCACCCCGCAACACAGGGUGUAAUUUUUUUUUCCCUGCGUAAUUUUCAGGGGUCUCGCAACACAGCAAUGCAUAGGCUGUACAAUAUUGGUCUAAGAUCAAUUUAAAUGUGCUUAUUUGGUUUUUUAAAGCCCGUUAAAUGUUUCUAAAAUGUUCUAAGUUAGUACUUGUUCAGUUCUGAAACUGAAACAAAUACAAUUAUUGAUGUUUGCUCUAUGAACCCCCUGCCCCCUAACAAUAGCACUGAAUGUGGUACCUGCUGAAUGCAAUGUUUUUACUUCUAUUUUGAAGUAUCCCUCUGUACCAAUUGUAAAAUCAUGCCACUAUAACAAAUGGUUAAUAUUCAUACAGCAACUUAAAAAAAAAACUUGAUGAUGUACUCAGUUCUCCUCUAUCCUGUAUAUUUCACAAAAGGCAUAUGCAAUAUUUACAUUCUUGAUUUAGUUUACAGAAUGGAACCAAAAUGUAUAAAUGUUAUGUUUGCUAAAACUUCACAAUGUAUAUUGGGUCUUUGUACAUUUUGCCUGACUUACCUUAAAUUUAAAAUAUUUUUUGCUAUAUAACCUCUAUAGUUAUUAAGCAGUGUUUUCAUUUUGGUUACGUAUUGUUUAUGGAUAUCAAGAUGUUAAAUAUAUUUCUUGCUAUUGUGAUAUGACAAGAGACUUAACUUAUCUUGCUGUGUCUUCCAAUGUACACGCUGUAUAUAAGGAUAAAUGUGAUGCUGCUGGAGACGAGAAUAAAUGGAACUAGAGUAGUGUAUUGUAUUUAGUCUGUAUUGAUCAUGGAUGCUCUCCUUAAUAGCCAUAUGCAAUAAAAUAAUUAUUUAUUAAAGGAA